rnacentral:rRNA from 1 species
UACGUAGGGUGCGAGCGUUGUCCGGAAUUAUUGGGCGUAAAGGGCUCGUAGGCGGUUUGUCGCGUCGGGAGUGAAAACGCCGUGCUUAACACGGCGCUUGCUUUCGAUACGGGCAGACUAGAGGUAUGCAGGGGAGAACGGAAUUCCUGGUGUAGCGGUGAAAUGCGCAGAUAUCAGGAGGAACACCGGUGGCGAAGGCGGUCUCUGGGCAAUAACUGACGCUGAGGAGCGAAAGCGUGGGGAGCGAACAGG